AAAGUACUUAAUCCAAACGAUACUGAAUUUGGCCCUUCUUUUAUAAGUUUCAACACACAGUACCAAAAGGGUGAGAUGGUUAUUGGCCUCAAAUGACUGAUUUCUACUUAACUAGGCAUAAAGGAACAGAACUCCCGGGCAACUUGAUGUAAAGUGUGUCAUCCACAGGUCAACAGGCUGCAACCACCCAAACUCAUUUGUUUAGACCUGAUUAAGUCCAGCAGGGGGAGUACGAACAUGAUUUCAAAAGGAUCAAAUACGAGAGAAGCAUCAGGAAAACCGGACCUUAAACACAAAAAUACGCAUUAUUUAUGGAUAAAAAAGAUGAAAAUUUCUUAGUACAUUAAGAAAAAUUGAUCAAAUAAGUAUAUGCUAAUGUUCAUAAAACCUGGUGUCUCAUACUGGCAAUGUUUCCGUUUUCAUUUCAAUUGUUUUUGGAAAAUGUAUACGUUAAGCCAUCCUUGAAAACACCCAUCUACCCACCCAUCAAAGAGAACAAUGGAUUCAUUAAUGGCAGAUCUUGGAUAUUGUUCAUUACUGUACCCUCCUACAAAUAACACUGGGCCUGCCAAGAAAAGAUAUUCCAUGUUUUGAAAUGAAUGCAUACAUUAUUGAGUAUCCUGGCUUUUCCUGGACAUAUUCCAAAAAGGCUGAUAAUGAUGAUGAAGGAUCCAUAAUUAUAAGAUCUCUACUGAUGAGUACAUGUCCAUGGAGGAAAAAAUAAUAAGAUGCCGAGAGGAAGAAAUCACACAACCAUUCUAUUGUGCCAGAUGGUAACUUCCCAAAGAACCAAAAAUAUGAGAGGACAGGAGAAGAGAGGUUAUAUGGUUAUGUGUCCAAAAUCAUGGCCUGUGUGGUUUUGAUCCUGUCAUCAUGUUGCUAACUGGUUAUUACAGAAAACCAAAUACCACAUGUUCUCCCUUAUAUUUGGAAGCUAAACAGUGAGAACACAUGGACCCAAAGAAAGGAACAACAGACACUGGGGCCUACCUGAGGGUGAAGGGUGGGAGGGGACUGAAAAACUACCUAUUGGGUACUAUGCUUAUUACCAGAGUGACAAAAUAAUUUGUACACCAAACCCCCCUGACAUGCAAUUUACCUAUGUAACAAACCUGCAUGUGUACCCCGAACCUAAAAUCAAAGUUAAAAAAAUAAAAAUAAAUGAAAUCAUGGCCUGAACAACUCUGAAGCCCACCAUUGCCACUCUUUACCACUGGCCUCUUUUGAAAGGCUCACAAUAUCGAGUUACCCUAAACAGCCAAGCCUGAUAGUUCUCUGGCUUUUACAUUCAUUUUCUGGCAGGUUUCUAAAGUUAUACAAGUCUAGGAUUGUAAUGUUAGGCCCUCGAAAGCAGGUGUAUGUGAGAGCCUACUCUAUCAUGGUGUGGUAUAAGGGGGAGGAGGUUGGAGGGAUUCAUAUGAAUUCUGAGGGAAAGUAGGGAGGUUUUAGGCUGGAGGAAUAGUGUGAGCUUAAGAGAAGUACUGUUCACAAUGGGAAGUAUAGAAAGAUGAAACAAAGCCACACCUACCUACUUGUUUUGCCUUAAGCAUAACUGCAACUUAAACAGUCUACUUUCUAAUGGAAACUGGUUGGUACUACAAUAGUACACUUUAAUUGUAGUGAAAUACAGCAUUUUCUACACUAACUUAAAAUUUUCAAAGACACAUAAUUUAACGUAACACCAAACAGGUAAAAACUAAUUUAGGAGAAACCUAAAUUAUUAAGACAUAAUGAAUUCAUAGAUAUAGGUGUAGAUAAUACAGCUAUAACAAUAGCUAUGUAUAACAUAUAUGUAGCUGUAAGAUAUAGAUAACAUCAUGAGCUACGUAGAUAUCAGUUGCAUAGUGGAAUGAGGAGAGCCAGCACACCCUGAUUGAAAUUCUGACUCUUUUACUUUCUAAUAUUUGACUUUAGGUAAAUCAUAUCAUUCCACCAAGCCUCAGUUUUCAUGAUUGUAAAGUGUAAAUAUAAAUUCCUAUCUGAAAGAGUUUAAUUAAAAAUAUAGAUAGAUGUAAGAACAUAGUUCAGUAUCUAUUAUCUUUGUAACAUUCAAUAUCUGACAAAUAAUAUUAUUACUGUAAAUUUACCAGCCUUCCACUGAGCAAGGUGCCAUCAACCUUAAUGAAAGUAAGCGUAUAAAAUAAAAUAUUUGCAACAUUUCCCUUUACCUGUCUCAUAAACAUACAUAAUCCC
rnacentral:lncRNA from 10 species